rnacentral:rRNA from 1 species
CCUACGGGAGGCAGCAGUGAGGAAUAUUGGUCAAUGGACGAGAGUCUGAACCAGCCAAGUAGCGUGAAGGAUGACUGCCCUAUGGGUUGUAAACUUCUUUUAUACAGGAAUAAAACGAGGCACGUGUGCCUUUUUGCAUGUACUUUAUGAAUAAGGAUCGGCUAACUCCGUGCCAGCAGCCGCGGUAAUACGGAGGAUCCGAGCGUUAUCCGGAUUUAUUGGGUUUAAAGGGAGCGUAGAUGGGUUGUUAAGUCAGUUGUGAAAGUUUGCGGCUCAACCGUAAAAUUGCAAUUGAUACUGGCAGUCGUGAGUACAGUUGAGGUAGGCGGAAUUCGUGGUGUAGCGGUGAAAUGCUUAGAUAUCACGAAGAACCCCGAUUGCGAAGGCAGCUUACUAAACUGUGACUGACACUGAUGCUCGAAAGUGUGGGUAUCAAACAGGAUUAGAUACCCCAGUAGUC